UCAAGUCUAAUGGGAUCCAAGCGGUUCC
rnacentral:piRNA from 1 species